rnacentral:lncRNA from 1 species
AAAGCGGCUCUUAGCUGUGGAACCGUUAGUAGUAGCUUGGCACCGUGCAUUGGCUACUUGACCCAAGGUACGCCCCUUCCCUUAGCGUGCUGCGCCGGCGUUAAAAGACUAAACAGCAUGGCCCGUACAACCCCGGACCGUCAGCAAGCUUGCCGUUGCCUUGUUGGAGCCGCCAACGCCUUAGGUUCCGGUCUCAACACUGGCCGUGCAUCUGGACUUCCUAAGGCAUGUGGUGUCAAUAUUCCAUACGCAAUCAGCAAAAACACUAACUGCGCCAUGUAUGUGUUAAUCUCUCACUCUCUCUGAUACAUAUGAAAACUAAAGGUUUCUUGUUUUGUUACAAUACGAAUAUACGAUGUAACUAAUAUUAAAGUUAGUUUUUUUGACAAAAUGAAGAUUUGAGUUUGCUAUAAAACGGUUUCAUGUUUUACUAAAGUUUAUAAGUCUUCCCGGUUCAACCAUGUUCCAAUAUAAAAGUUGAAUUUUUAUACCGUUGCAACAAGUAUAUAUUAAAAGUUUAUUUUUUUGAGUGGAAAUUAGAGGUUUUUAUAUAGUAACGGUGUUAUGUUUAUUUGUAUGUGGUUGCAGCGUGCGUUAAAUGAGCGGCGGUCGGAUGAAGCUCUAGCGGAUGUUUCAAAUAUUAUAUGAGACUAUGAGAGAAUACUAAAUAAGAUGUAAUGUCUGUUUUUUUUUUGAGUUUUUAGUUUCCUGUCUUUUUUUCUUUUUUCUUUUAUGGUGGCGUUCCUAUUACUUGGUCGUCUGUACUAUGUUCGCAAUCAACGUUAUAUGAGUUUCAAAGUUCACAUUAUUUUAUAUUCUUACCAAAUCUUAGUUUAGUUUCAUCGAUAUGAAAAAUGAUCAUUAUACAUUAACAAUAUAUAUAUAUAUAUAUAUUGAUUUGCAUUACAGUUGGGAAGUAACGGAUAAUUUAAAUUUAAUUUUACAGCCAAAUAAAAUAACGGGACAUUCUCCAAAUUUGUACUAUUUACUUGUUUAGACUUAAGAUAAUCGAGAAAAUGAUGGAUCGCUAUAUGGAAUCGUGACAACUCUUGGAAAACCAGGACCCUAUCUUAUAAUGUGCCCAAAACUAGGGAUUUAUUUCAGUUUGACUUAAUUAAUUUUACAGAUUAGAUAAUGAUUUGGAUAUUGGACAAACCAAUAAAAUGAACAUAACGAAAUAAUAUUUCUAUCAAAAUUUGGUUAUCUUUUCAUCAUUGUUAGUUAUUAUUUUUUCUAAUUUAAUUUAAUUUAUAAUCUACCGUGUGAUGAAUUUUUUCUAAAGAAGAAAAAUCAAAAUUCUGUUAAACUCCAUACAGCUCCCAAAAGUCUAGGCCCAAUUCUGGUUGCUCUCUCAGUGUUGCUAAUUAACUACUUUUUUUUUUAACACAUCGAGGGAAACUCAAUUUUACAAUCAAAAUCAAACCAAUAAGUCUUAACCAUGAAAUAAUACCAAAGAUGAUGAAAUACAUUAGAGAAAAACCCAUAUAAGCUGCUAUUGUUGUAGAUGAAGUUUUUUUUGCAGAUUUAUUGGAGGCAACUGUGCGUUUGGGAAACAAAAUUUGGGAGGUGAGAAGAAACUCGCGUUGUGAUAAGAAAAUAGCGCAAUCACAUUUUGACGGAAAUUUACAAAAUCAUAGUUAUACCGGAAAAUCACCGACUGUUUGUUGAAUUAGUCCAAAGAGACUCAUGUUGGUUCAAGGUUUUUGUUUGUAUAGGUGGUUAUGUGAUAGAAAUAGUCGGAUUUAUAUUUCUGUUCUUCCGAAAUAACAUUUGUUGAUUUUUCUUUGUUGAUUAUUAGUCUAAUGUGUAUAAAAAAUGAUAAAGUUAAACAAAACGGGUAAAUUAUCGUUUUGCAUAAUUUUCUUACAUAUUUAUUUGAUCCACAGCGAAAAACGGUCUUGGGACAGCAGCUCUCAAGAUUAACAGCUACAGUUUGUAAAACAAAUGUAGACUUUGUUUGAGAAAGAGGAGUUUUUUAAAGUUUUUGAAACUCAUAUGUGUUUUUCUUGUUUUGUGAAGAUAUAAUUUGUGUGUACUUAACGCAUAUAUCUAGUCUUGUAUGAGUGAAUCAAAUAUUUAAAAUAAAGAUUGCAAUGUAAAUUUCUAGACUUAUAUACAUAGUGCAUACAUAUUUGUUGAAAAAUGAGAGCAUAAUAUAUGGUUUUAAUUAUAUUAAAUUUUCGUGUUGCGUGACUUGCGUUUCAUCUCAUUAAGAAAGUUUUUACGUAUUUUGUUGGAUCCGCUAGCUAAAUUAUUUUCAUUUGUUAAUCGGAUGUAAAAGAUAUUAGUCAGAUGAUGUUAAGUAAGAUACAAUAAGAAUAUAACAUUUAGUGAUAUUUCUACGUGAAAUGACUAUUUUCUUAUCCAUGUAUAGUUUUAACAUUCUUAAAAUGAAAAUGCAAGAGAGAUUACAUACGUCUUUUUGUGGGUGGGGGGGGGGGGGGGAAAAGAACUACGGUAAAAAAUGUAAGUAUUAUAAGUUUUCAGAAAAAUAAUAUGAUUGAAAUGUCAAACAAAAUACGUAGAUGAGAAAUGAGAGGUACUCACCACUCCUACAUAAUUAGGUACUGUACAUUAAAUGUAACCAACCACCAAUCAACUAAUCAUUUCCUCUAAAUCCCAUUCACAUUCACAACAUCAAAACUUUCUUUCUCUAUAUAAACACUCACUCCCUCAACUCUCUUCAUCACCCAAUAUCACUACACUACAUACAUCUGCUUCUUCAAACAACCAAAAAAAAAACUAUAUUUCCAAGAUAAAAAGAAAAUGGCUGGUCUAAUGAAGUUGGCAUUCCUGGUCUUGGCCUGCAUGAUUGUGGCCGGUCCAAUCACAGCCAAAGCGGCUCUGACCUGUGGCACCGUUACCAGCAACGUUGCAGCGUGCAUUGGCUACAUUACCCAAGGUGGGCCCGUUCCAGGAGCUUGCUGCUCAGGCAUUAAAAACCUUAACAGCAUGGCCCGUACAACCCCGGACCGUCAACAAGCUUGUCGUUGCCUUAAAACUGCCGCUAAUGCCUUGGGCCCAAAUCUCAACGCUGGCCGUGCAGCUGGACUUCCUAAGGCUUGUGGAGUCAAUGUUCCUUUCCCAAUCAGCACCAGCACCAACUGCAACAGGUAUAUGUCUGAAGAUCUCUCAUUCACUCUAUUUUCAUAUAAAUGCUA